CGUAACGCGUAUGCAACUUGCCCUCAACUGGGAAAUAGCCCGGAGAAAUUCGGAUUAAUGUCCCAUAGUAUUACAAGAUCGCAUGGUGUUGUAAUUAAAGUUUCGGCGGUUGAGGAUGGGCAUGCGUCCUAUUAGCUAGUUGGAGAGGUAACGGCUCACCAAGGCUACGAUAGGUAGGGGGCCUGAGAGGGUAAUCCCCCACACUGGUACUGAGACACGGACCAGACUCC
rnacentral:rRNA from 1 species